rnacentral:rRNA from 1 species
GGCCUGCGCGGAAGAUGUAACGGGGCUAAAACUAUGUGCCGAAGCUGCGGAUUUGACUUUUAGUCAAGUGGUAGGGGAGCGUUCUGUAAGCCGAUGAAGGUGUAUUGAGAAGUAUGCUGGAGGUAUCAGAAGUGCGAAUGCUGACGUGAGUAACGACAAAACGGGUGAAAAACCCGUUCGCUGAAAGACCAAGGGUUCCAGUCCAACGUUAAUCGGGGCUGGGUGAGUCGACCCCUAAGGCGAGGCCGAGAGGCGUAGUCGAUGGGAAAUUGGUUAAUAUUCCAAUACUUCUGUGUAAUGCGAUGAGAGGACGGAGAAGGUUAAGUCAGCCUGGCGUUGGUUGUCCAGGUGGAAGGCUGUAGGCAUGCAUCUUAGGCAAAUCCGGGGUGCUCUAUGCUGAGAGCUGAUAGCAAGCUGUACUUGUACAGUGAAGUGGCUGAUACCAUGCUUCCAGGAAAAGUCUCUAAGCUUCAGUUACACAGGAAUCGUACCCUAAACCGACACAGGUGGUCAGGUCGAGUAGACCAAAGCGCUUGAGAGAACUCUGCUGAAGGAACUAGGCAAAAUGGUACCGUAACUUCGGGAGAAGGUACGCUGCUGACGGUGAUUUCCCUUGCGGAAUGAGCUAUUGGCAGCCACAGAAACCAGGCCGCUGCAACUGUUUAUUAAAAACAUAGCACUCUGCAAACACGAAAGUGGACGUAUAGGGUGUGAUGCCUGCCCGGUGCUGGAAGGUUAAUUGAUGGGGUUAGCGUAAGCGAAGCUCUUGAUCGAAGCCCCAGUAAACGGCGGCCGUAACUAUAACGGUCCUAAGGUAGCGAAAUUCCUUGUCGGGUAAGUUCCGACCUGCACGAAUGGCAUAAUGAUGGCGGCGCUGUCUCCAGCAGAGGCUCAGUGAAAUCGAAUUCGCCGUGAAGAUGCGGUGUACCCGCGGCUAGACGGAAAGACCCCGUGAACCUUUACUGCAGCUUGACAUUGAACUUUGACCUUACUUGUGUAGGAUAGGUGGGAGGCUUUGAAGUUGGAACGCUAGUUCCAAUGGAGCCGUCCUUGAAAUACCACCCUGGUAAUGUUGAGGUUCUAACUCUGCCCCGUAAUCCGGGGCGAGGACCAUGUCUGGUGGGUAGUUUGACUGGGGCGGUCUCCUCCUAAAGAGUAACGGAGGAGUACGAAGGUGCGCUCAGCGUGGUCGGAAAUCACGCGUAGAGUAUAAAGGCAAAAGCGCGCUUAACUGCGAGACCGACAAGUCGAGCAGGUACGAAAGUAGGUCUUAGUGAUCCGGUGGUUCUGUAUGGAAGGGCCAUCGCUCAACGGAUAAAAGGUACUCUGGGGAUAACAGGCUGAUACCGCCCAAGAGUUCAUAUCGACGGCGGUGUUUGGCACCUCGAUGUCGGCUCAUCUCAUCCUGGGGCUGAAGCAGGUCCCAAGGGUAUGGCUGUUCGCCAUUUAAAGAGGUACGCGAGCUGGGUUUAGAACGUCGUGAGACAGUUCGGUCCCUAUCUACCGUGGGCGUUGGAGACUUGAGAGGAUCUGCUUCUAGUACGAGAGGACCGAAGUGGACGAACCUCUGGUGUUCCGGUUGUCACGCCAGUGGCACUGCCGGGUAGCUAUGUUCGGAAGGGAUAACCGCUGAAAGCAUCUAAGCGGGAAGCCUACCUCAAGAUAAGAUUUCCCUAGGAAUUUAUUCCUCUAAAGAGCCGUUCGAGACUAGGACGUUGAUAGGUUGGGUGUGGAAGCACGGUGACGUGUGAAGCUGACCAAUACUAAUUGCUCGUGAGGCUUGACU